rnacentral:tRNA from 1 species
UGGCUCAUUCGGUAGAGUGCUUGCCUAGCAAGUAAGAAGUCCUGGGUUUGAUUCCCAG